UACGGAGGGUGCAAGCGUUAUCCGGAUUUACUGGGUUUAAAGGGAGCGCAGGCGGAUUGGUAAGUCAGUGGUGAAAUACCCGUGCUUAACAUGGGAACUGCCAUUGAUACUAUCAGUCUUGAAUAUCGUUGAGGUUUGCGGAAUGGGUCAUGUAGCGGUGAAAUGCAUAGAUAUGACCCGGAACACCUAUUGCGAAGGCAGCAGGCUAAACGAAGAUUGACGCUGAGGCUCGAAAGCGUGGGGAUCAAACAGG
rnacentral:rRNA from 2 species